rnacentral:rRNA from 1 species
UACAUGGGGUGCAAACGUUGCUCGGAAUUAUUGGGCGUAAAGCGCACGUAGGCGGUUUGUUAAGUCGGAUGUGAAAUCCCUCGGCUCAACUGAGGAAGUGCACCCGAAACUGGCAGGCUUGAGUACUAAAGAGGGUCGCGGAAUUCCCGGUGUAGAGGUGAAAUUCGUAGAUAUCGGGAGGAACACCGGUGGCGAAGGCAGCUCGCUGGGACGUGACUGACGCUGAGACGCGAAAGCGUGGGGGAGCAAACAGG